rnacentral:ncRNA from 1 species
GCAAAUGCUGAGAACAGAACAAGGUUUUCGAAAGGAAAUACUUCAGAGAGCUGUCGGCUGGUGUGAGACAGUGUAGGAUUUCGGGAAUUAUCCUCUGCGAGCAGUGCACUGAAUUCCUAGAAGGACAUUAGGUGUCACCGGUUUUCUACCGUUACAUAGAAGCUUAUUUCACAGAUGACAUGUUGAGAUGAUGCAAAAGAUGCAAAUAUAUCGAUAUGCGGUCUGUAAGAUAAGAAUGAGUGGUCGCAUAUGCGGCAAAUAAAGUGGUAACGCGGAAGUUUAAACCUUCGUCUUUAUA